AUUGAACGCUGGCGGCAGGCCUAACACAUGCAAGUCGAACGAGUGGCGGACGGGUGAGUAAUGUCUGGGAAACUGCCUGAUGGAGGGGGAUAACUACUGGAAACGGUAGCUAAUACCGCAAACCAUCAGAUGUGCCCAGAUGGGAUUAGCUUGUUGGUGGGGUAACGGCUCACCAAGGCGACGAUCCCUAGCUGGUCUGAGCGGAUGACCAGCCACCCUGGAACUGAGCCAUGGUCCAGACGCUACCGGGAGGACGCAGUGGGGAAUUUUGCACAAUGGGCGCAGGCCUGAUGCAGCCAUGCCGCGUGUAUGAAGAAGGCCUUCGGGUUGUAAAGUACUUUCAGCGGGGAGGCGUUACCCGCAGAAGAAGCACCGGCUAACUCCGUGCCAGCAGCCGCGGUAAUAC
rnacentral:rRNA from 1 species